GCAGGUGGUGCUUUAUAAACAACCUGAACUUAUAGAUAUGGUGCUGUAUGGUAUGCGGGUGGUCAUGUCUUAUGUUAGCAUGCAAGCUGUUUUGACUAAUGAGAAUGCUUUGAGUUCAGAAACUUAUGCUUACUAGGUUCAUUGAAUGGUUUUGUUUCAGAAGAUCAAGGAAAAUUCAGUUAUACAACCCACAGAGAUGAAAGUCUCUCUGUCUUUCCCUUUAGAAUUUCCUCAGCCAGUGAAGGGUGCCGCUACUGGAGGUAUUUUUGGUGGUAUUCUUUGUGUGAUCAUCCUGGUAGCCUUAAUUGCAACUAUAGUGAUGGUCCGCAACUGCAAGAGGAAAAACAAAGACGGUCCACCCACUCACAAACCUCCUCCUCCCAUGAAGUCAUAUUCCUAUUCAGACAGACCGAGCAUCGAUACACCUGUGUCUGAUUCUCAGUCCAUGCACCAUGAGACAGAGAAAGAGGAACCGAUGACAGAUCUCUCAGCAUACCAUGAUGACAAGGAUCAUCAUGAGCCUUCACGUUUCUCCUGGGAGGACAAACAGUCUCCUUACCAGGAUGACAGAGACGAAGACAGAAUGAUGGGAGAGGAAGACGGCUAUUACAUCACUUCCUCAGCCAGCAGAGGGAGCAGCUUCAUGUCACCAGCUGUGAUAGUGUAGGGAUCAAACUGAGCCGUAGAUUUUUAUACUGUAACCUGAACACUAUUGUACUGUUUUAUAUUGAAUAUGAAAUAUGGGUCUGAUUGCAAAGGCUUUGCUUUACCCAAAAACUGUGAGGGACCUGUUCUACAGCGCCCAUUUUAUAAUGACCUCAGUAAUAUCUUUGCACACAUAUAUGUAGUUGUGCAUACACACGUUUAUUCAUAUUUCUGUAUCGGAUUUAGGAUUAUAUUUUAGUUUGUGCCAUUUUUUAAGGGUGUGUGUAAUUUAACAUAGCCCUAAGGACAUAAUGAGCCAGUGGCAUACAUGAUUGAAGCAUUGUUUUUGUCAUUAUUAUUAGUGAUGUAAUCCAUAGCUGCAGUGUGAAAUUUCCUUCUUUUUGUUCUUAAAAUCUUUAUUUAAUUUCGUAUUGAAUUCUUAUUUUAGUAAAUUGCACUAGAUUGCACAAGAUCAUUUGCACCCUCUUAACUUUUAUUUUUAUGUAAUAGCAUAGAAUUAUUUUUCUUUUAGAGAAUAAUCUUUGUGACAUUAUUUUUCAGUGUACUUCCAUGAUUGUUUAGGCUUAAUAAACAGUGAAGUGGUGUCUGGUUAUUAUAUGUAUGUAUCAGUGUAUUAUAUUGUAAACAUUUAUGAACUGAUGAUUGUCUUUGAUAAUGGUCAUUUUUACAUUUUGCGUACAAUGGAACCAAGGAAAUCUGAAGUUCACAA
ensembl:lncRNA